rnacentral:rRNA from 1 species
UACGUAGGGUCCGAGCGUUGUCCGGAAUUACUGGGCGUAAAGAGCUCGUAGGUGGUUUGUCGCGUUGUUCGUGAAAACUCACAGCUUAACUGUGGGCGUGCGGGCGAUACGGGCAGACUUGAGUACUGCAGGGGAGACUGGAAUUCCUGGUGUAGCGGUGGAAUGCGCAGAUAUCAGGAGGAACACCGGUGGCGAAGGCGGGUCGCUGGGCAGUAACUGACGCUGAGGGCGAAAGCGUGGGGAGCGAACAGG